GCCUUUUGUAGAAUGAACCGGCGAGUUACGAUUUGAUGCAAGGUUAAGCAGUAAAUGUGGAGCCGUAGCGAAAGCGAGUCUGAAUAGGGCGUUUAGUAUUUGGUCGUAGACCCGAAACCAGGUGAUCUACCCUUGGUCAGGUUGAAGUUCAGGUAACACUGAAUGGAGGACCGAACCGACUUACGUUGAAAAGUGAGCGGAUGAACUGAGGGUAGCGGAGAAAUUCCAAUCGAACCUGGAGAUAGCUGGUUCUCUCCGAAAUAGCUUUAGGGCUAGCCUCAAGUGAUGAUUAUUGGAGGUAGAGCACUGUUUGGACGAGGGGCCCCUCUCGGGUUACCGAAUUCAGACAAACUCCGAAUGCCAAUUAAUUUAACUUGGGAGUCAGAACAUGGGUGAUAAGGUCCGUGUUCGAAAGGGAAACAGCCCAGACCACCAGCUAAGGUCCCAAAAUAUAUGUUAAGUGGAAAAGGAUGUGGCGUUGCCCAGACAACUAGGAUGUUGGCUUAGAAGCAGCCAUCAUUUAAAGAGUGCGUAAUAGCUCACUAGUCGAGUGACACUGCGCCGAAAAUGUACCGGGGCUAAACAUAUUACCGAAGCUGUGGAUUGUCCUUUGGACAAUGGUAGGAGAGCGUUCUAAGGGCGUUGAAGCAUGAUCGUAAGGACAUGUGGAGCGCUUAGAAGUGAGAAUGCCGGUGUGAGUAGCGAAAGACGGGUGAGAAUCCCGUCCACCGAUUGACUAAGGUUUCCAGAGGAAGGCUCGUCCGCUCUGGGUUAGUCGGGUCCUAAGCUGAGGCCGACAGGCGUAGGCGAUGGAUAACAGGUUGAUAUUCCUGUACCACCUAUAAUCGUUUUAAUCGAUGGGGGGACGCAGUAGGAUAGGCGAAGCGUG
rnacentral:rRNA from 1 species